AAAGCGUUUUGGUCCACAAGGCCCAUUAUGUUUAAGUUGUAUGACAACUAAAACAAAAUGGGCAAUAAGCCCAAUCACUUACAAGGGGCCAGCCAUAAGGGGUGAGUGUGAGACUUUGCUUAAUUGCAAGUUUGCCACUCACCAAAUGUAAUGAAGUAUAAAAGCAACUUUAUAGCUUUAUUUUCAUUAGGGUUUUCUUUGAGGCAAAGAGGUGAAACAUUUUCUCUCUUUCUCUCUACAAAGAGGCCGGCCACUUAGGGAAGAUUUAGCUAGCAAUCUUUUCUUCUCUAAGUCAUCCAUUUCAUCUUCACACCUCACCCUUGGUGUGGAGACUUAGAGACACCAAACCUUUGGUGUUUUUGGAGAUCCUUUCCUCACAUCCUCAAGGAGCAAAGGAGCACUAAAAGGGGAAAAUCACAAGCAAGAUUCAAGGAGCUUGGAGGUGACUUGAAGGCCCACCACUUGGGUGAAUCCCUUGUGUAAACAAGGAUGAG
rnacentral:lncRNA from 1 species